rnacentral:rRNA from 1 species
GCUUCCGUUAUGAUGUGAUCAGCUAGAUCAACUCUUCAACUUGAGAGUUUGAUCCUGGCUCAGCGCGAACGCUGGCGGCAGGCUUAAC